UACAGAGGUCCCAAGCGUUGUUCGGAUUCACUGGGCGUAAAGGGUGCGUAGGCGGUCGGGUAAGUCUGAUGUGAAAUCUCACAGCUUAACUGUGAAACUGCAUUGGAUACUAUCCGGCUCGAGGAAUGGAGGGGAGACUGGAAUACUUGGUGUAGCAGUGAAAUGCGUAGAUAUCAAGUGGAACACCAGUGGCGAAGGCGAGUCUCUGGACAUUUCCUGACGCUGAGACACGAAAGCCAGGGGAGCAAACGGG
rnacentral:rRNA from 1 species